UGGGGAAUAUUGCACAAUGGGCGAAAGCCUGAUGCAGCGACGCCGCGUGAGGGUUGACGGCCUUCGGGUUGUAAACCUCUUUCAGUAGGGACGAAGCGCAAGUGACGGUACCUGCAGAAGAAGCACCGGCUAACUACGUGCCAGCAGCCGCGGUAAUACGUAGGGUGCGAGCGUUGUCCGGAAUUACUGGGCGUAAAGAGCUCGUAGGCGGUUUGUCACGUCGUCUGUGAAAUCCUAGGGCUUAACCCUGGACGUGCAGGCGAUACGGGCUGACUUGAGUACUACAGGGGAGACUGGAAUUUCUGGUGUAGCGGUGGAAUGCACAGAUAUCAGGAAGAACACCGAUGGCGAAGGCAGGUCUCUGGGUAGUAACUGACGCUGAGGAGCGAAAGCAUGGGUAGCGAACAGG
rnacentral:rRNA from 1 species